AUGACCUUUAAGACCAGUCCUGUGAGACUGAGAAGGUAUCGGAUACGGAAGGGAUUCCCCUUCCUGCACUAAAAGUGCAGCCAAACCUCUCGUCGUGCAGGCGGGAGGUUUUUUUAUA
rfam:Bacillus infantis NRRL B-14911, complete genome.